GGGUAGCCAUAGAUCUUUUUAUGCUGAUUGUCCAUUGUGAUUCUUUAGAGCAAGAUGAAUUCACGGCAUGUAAAAAGACUUGAGCAAAUUCUGGCUCGUAGGAGGCAGGUUGUGGUUUCGGUUGCUAAAAUGGGAUCCACAGUCAGGGAAGAACAACAUGUUGUUCCUACUAUCGAAUCCACAGCCCAACCAUUAGAAGCGUGAUGCAGG
rnacentral:lncRNA from 1 species